UCUACCUCCCUGUGCUCACUUCACGCCAAGUCCUGCUCCUCCUUUGCUCCUCCACUGCUCCAGCCUAAACCCUGCCCUGCACCCAGCCUUAUUCUAGUCCUGUCCCAGACCUGCUUCUGCCUUGAAACCAGCUUUACUCUCAACUCCAGGUCCCCCAGCGGGCUUUGGCUUUUGCAGCUCAUCCUGGGCCCAUACCCAAAGGAGCUGUUUGAUGACCCCCAUCCUGGAGGAUCAGCUUGCCUCAGAACUGCCAGCAGAAGAUACAGAAGGAGCCUGGCCUCUCCAGCUCUGCAGCCCAGCCACAAUCCAGCAAGAGCCAGGGAUUUUGAACAGUCAUGAAGCAGUCCAAAAGGAUGCCUGUCCAUGAUGAACUUAUGGUGGCUAUCUUGGAUAGGGCCAACAAGCAGGUACAAUACCAAAGGGAAAAGGAUUCACGGCCAGGGAAAAGGCACAGCCAGGCUGCAGAGUGCAGGAGACACUUGCAGUGCAGUUUCUAGACCAGGAAUGGUGACUGAAGGAGGAAGAUAG